UACAGAGGUCUCAAGCGUUGUUCGGAUUCAUUGGGCGUAAAGGGUGCGUAGGUGGCGCGGUAAGUCGGGUGUGAAAUUUCGGAGCUUAACUCCGAAACUGCAUUCGAUACUGCCGUGCUUGAGGACUGGAGAGGAGACUGGAAUUUACGGUGUAGCAGUGAAAUGCGUAGAGAUCGUAAAGAAGACCAGUGGCGAAGGCGGGUCUCUGGACAGUUCCUGACACUGAGGCACGAAGGCCAGGGGAGCAAACGGG
rnacentral:rRNA from 1 species